CAGUAGCCGCGGUAAUACGAAGGGUGCAAGCGUUACUCGGAAUUACUGGGCGUAAAGCGUACGUAGGCGGCUUUGUAAGUUAGAGGUGAAAGCCUGGUGCUCAACACCAGAACUGCCUUUAAGACUGCAUCGCUUGAACGUCGGAGAGGUGAGUGGAAUUCCGAGUGUAGAGGUGAAAUUCGUAGAUAUUCGGAAGAACACCAGUGGCGAAGGCGGCUCACUGGACGACUGUUGACGCUGAGGUACGAAAGCGUGGGGAGCAAACAGGAUUAGAUACCCCUGUAGUCCCUGUCUCUUAUAC
rnacentral:rRNA from 1 species